UACGUAGGGGGCAAGCGUUGUCCGGAUUUAUUGGGCGUAAAGAGCGUGUAGGCGGUUUGGUAGGUCCGCUGUGAAACUCGAGCUCAACCUCGAGACGCCGGUGGAAACCAUCAGACUAGAGUCCGGAAGAGGAGAGUGGAAUUCCUGGUGUAGCGGUGAAAUGCGCAGAUAUCAGGAAGAACACCCGUGGCUAAGGCGGCUCUCUAGUACGGUACUGACGCUGAGACGCGAAAGCGUGGGGAGCGAACAGG
rnacentral:rRNA from 1 species